rnacentral:rRNA from 1 species
AUUGAACGCUGGCGGCAUGCCUUACACAUGCAAGUCGAACGGUAGCACGGGUGCUUGCCCCUGGUGGCGAGUGGCGAACGGGUGAGUAAUACAUCGGAACAUGUCCUGUAGUGGGGGAUAGCCCGGCGAAAGCCGGAUUAAUACCGCAUACGAUCUACGGAUGAAAGCGGGGGACCUUCGGGCCUCGCGCUAUAGGGUUGGCCGAUGGCUGAUUAGCUAGUUGGUGGGGUAAAGGCCUACCAAGGCGACGAUCAGUAGCUGGUCUGAGAGGACGACCAGCCACACUGGGACUGAGACACGGCCCAGACUCCUACGGGAGGCAGCAGUGGGGAAUUUUGGACAAUGGGCGAAAGCCUGAUCCAGCAAUGCCGCGUGUGUGAAGAAGGCCUUCGGGUUGUAAAGCACUUUUGUCCGGAAAGAAAUCCUUGGCCCUAAUACGGUCGGGGGAUGACGGUACCGGAAGAAUAAGCACCGGCUAACUACGUG